GAUGAACGCUGGCGGCGUGCCUAAUACAUGCAAGUCGAGCGAACGGACGAGAAGCUUGCUUCUCUGAUGUUAGCGGCGGACGGGUGAGUAACACGUGGAUAACCUACCUAUAAGACUGGGAUAACUUCGGGAAACCGUAGCUAAUACCGGAUAAUAUUUUGAACCGCAUGGUUCAAAAGUGAAAGACGGUCUUGCUGUCACUUAUAGAUGGAUCCGCGCUGCAUUAGCUAGUUGGUAAGGUAACGGCUUACCAAGGCAACGAUGCGUAGCCGACCUGAGAGGGUGAUCGGCCACACUGGAACUGAGACACGGUCCAGACUCCUACGGGAGGCAGCAGUAGGGAAUCUUCCGCAAUGGACGGAAGCCUGACGGAGCAACGCCGCGUGAGUGAUGAAGGUCUUCGGAUCGUAAAACUCUGUUAUUAGGGAAGAACAUAUGUGUAAGUAACUGUGCACAUCUUGACGGUACCUAAUCAGAAAGCCACGGCUAACUACGUG
rnacentral:rRNA from 1 species